rnacentral:rRNA from 1 species
CCUACGGGAGGCAGCAGUGAGGAAUUUUGCGCAAUGGGGGAAACCCUGACGCAGCGACGCCGCGUGGAGGAUGACGGCCUUCGGGUCUUAAACUCCUGUCAGAGGUGAAGAAUCCCCGCAAGGGGUUGACGGUAACCUCAAAGGAAGCCCCGGCUAACUACGUGCCAGCAGCCGCGGUAAGACGUAGGGGGCAAACGUUACUCGGAAUUACUGGGCGUAAAGGGUGUGUAGGCGGCUGGGUAAGUUAAAGAUGAAAUCCCGAGGCUUAACUUCGGAAUUGUCUUUGAAACUGCCCGGCUUGAGGGUAGUCGAGGAGAAUGGAAUUCCCGGUGGAGCGGUGAAAUGCGUAGAUAUCCGGAGGAACACCAGUGGCGAAGGCGGCCUCCUGGUCUGUCCCUGACGCUCAGACGCGAAAGCUAGGGGAGCAAACGGGAUUAGAAACCCCGGUAGUCCUAGCAGUAAACGAUGUGGACUUGGCGUUGGUGGGGUAAAAUCCAUCAGUGCCGGAGCUAACGCGGUAAGUCCACCGCCUGGGGACUACGGCCGCAAGGUUAAAACUCAAAGGAAUUGACGG